rnacentral:rRNA from 1 species
AUACAGGAGGAUAGCCUAGGGAAACCUGGAUUAACCCUUCAUAGUAUUAUUGGAUGGCAUCAUUGAUAUUAAAACUGAGGUGGUAUAGGAUGGGCAUGCGUCUGAUUAGUAGUUGCGGGGUAAUGGCCCACCAAGACGAUGAUCAGUAGGGGUUCUGAGAGGAAGAUCCCCCCACACUGGCACUGAGAUACGGGCCAGACUCCUACGGGAGGCAGCAGUAGGGAAUAUUGGUCAAUGGAUGCAAGUCUGAACCAGCCAUGCCGCGUGCAGGAAGAAGGCCUUCUGGGUUGUAAACUGCUUUUGCCGGGGAUAAAAGAUCCAUGCGUGGAGAAUUGAAGGUACCCGGUGAAUAAGCCACGGCUAACUACGUG